UACGUAGGGUGCGAGCGUUAAUCGGAAUUACUGGGCGUAAAGCGUGCGCAGGCGGUUUUGUAAGCCAGGUGUGAAAUCCCCGGGCUCAACCUGGGAAUGGCAUUUGGGACUGCAAGGCUGGAGUGUGGCAGAGGAGACUGGAAUUCCUGGUGUAGCAGUGAAAUGCGUAGGAUAUCAGGAGGAACACCGAUGGCGAAGGCAGGUCUCUGGGCUGACACUGACGCUCAUGCACGAAAGCGUGGGGAGCAAACAGG
rnacentral:rRNA from 1 species